CAGAGCCUCAUCCCCCGGAGAUAUGAAGGCUGUCCGCAGCCUGGAGUAUUUUAUUACCCUUGUCUUUUGCGCACUUGUUGUUUCCUGGGCGGGUUCGCUCGCCACCAGGACCACCAAAUAAACCUUUUUUAUGCAGUUGCAAUCAGCGUCAGUACAAACAAUGUAAAUCAUUUACAACUUUCAACAACGGAUCUCUUGGUUCUGGCAUCGAUGAAGAACGCAGCGAAAUGCGAUACGUAGUGUGAAUUGCAGAAUUCAGUGAAUCAUCGAAUCUUUGAACGCACAUUGCGCCCUUUGGUAUUCCAAAGGGCAUGCCUGUUCGAGCGUCAUUUGUACCCUCAAGCUUUGCUUGGUGUUGGGCGUUUUUGUCUUUGGUCGCCCAAAGACUCGCCUUAAAGUGAUUGGCAGCCGGCCUUUCUGGUUUCGCAGCGCAGCACAUUUUUGCGCUUGCCAUCAGCAAAACGGCAAUCCAUCAAGCCUCCUUCUCACGUUUGACCUCGGAUCAGGUAGGGAUACCCGCUGAACUUAAGCAUAUAUUAAAGCGGAGGAACUCUUCAGUUUGCCCGAGCAAGAUCCGCAGUUCAACCUGACGGAGAUCCUCAGUAUUUUUGGACCCCCCCCCUUCAAUAAGGAUUCUCCCCCCACAGAGGGAUUUCACCAAGGUGG
rnacentral:rRNA from 1 species